rnacentral:lncRNA from 1 species
CUCAUUUUCUCUUGCUGCUACCAUGGAAGAAGCGACUUUCGCCUCCCGCCGUGAUUCUGAGGCCUUUCCAGCCAUGUCAAACUCAAAAUGUGACUGAAAAACAGAAGCAUUUGGAAUACGUAACAGAAGUCAUUAAAAAGAGGAUCUUAUUCCUUUUGAUGUGCUGCUGGAUUCAGUUUGAAGGUAUUCUACUGACAGAGACAUAGACGAAUGGGACAGGAUAGAGAAGCCAGAAAUAAUGUUGCAACCUUACAGCCAUCUGAUCUUCAACAAAGUCAACAAAAAGAGACGAUGAAGAAAGGGCUGCUCCCUAUUCAAUAAAUGACACUGGGAAAACUGGCUAGUCAUACUCAGAAGAAUAAAAUUGGACCCCUUCCUUUCAUCAUAGACCAAAAUUAACUCAAGAUGGAUUAAAUAUAUUUAAAUGUAAGAACUCAAAACUAUAAGAAUCCUUGAAGAAAACCUAGGAAACAAUAUUCUGGACACCAGCCUUGGGAAAUAAUUUAUGACUAAAUUCUCAAAAAUUAGUUGCAACAAAAAAAUUGACAAGUGGAAAUAACUAAACUAACAAAUCUUCUGCACAGCAAAAGUAACUAUCAACAGAUUAAACAGACAACCUGCAGAAUGGGAGAAAAUAUUCACAAACUAAGCGUUUGAAAAACGUCUGAUAUUCAGAAUCUAUAACAAACUUAAACAAAUCAGCAAGCAAAGAACAACCCCACUAAAAAAUGGGCAAAAGACAUGAAAAGACAAUUCUCAAAAGAAGAAAUAGAAGUGGCCAGUGGACAUUGAAAAAUGCUCAACAUUACUAAUCAUCAGAGAAAUGCAAAUCAAAACCACAAUGAGAUAC